UUGUUUUUUUUUUUCCUUUUUUUAUAGUGCUGAUAAAGAUGCCCUUAGUGCAGCAGGGGAUUUUAACUUUUACUGGAUCAGCAUCUGUGUACCUCGCUCAGUCUUUAAGGCACAGCAGCUGUUUGUGGGUUACAUAAACAGUAAGAACUGCUGAGGAGAACAGACUAGCCUGCUGCCUGGAAGAGACUCAGACCUGCCUGAAGGAGAGAUUCUCUGACCUGUUGAGCUCUCUGCAAGUAGUGUAAUGAACUCCAGGGUUCCUGCUCUUGGUGAUGUAGCUGUCUUUGAGUUGUCCCUGCCUUGGCCCUUGCCCCUUUACCUAUACUCUUGUGAAUAACUCUAAUAAACUCGUUGGUUUGCCAGAUUGG
rnacentral:lncRNA from 1 species